rnacentral:rRNA from 1 species
AUAUCAAUAAGCGGAGGAAAAGAAACCAACAGGGAUUGCCCCAGUAGCGGCGAGUGAAGCGGCAAGAGCUCAGAUUUGAAAUCGUGUUUCGGCACGAGUUGUAGAGUGUAGGCGGGAGUCUCUGUGGAGCGCGGUGUCCAAGUCCCUUGGAACAGGGUGCCUGAGAGGGUGAGAGCCCCGUAGGGUGCUGCGCGAAGCUUUUGAGGCCCUGCUGACGAGUCGAGUUGUUUGGGAAU